AAUCAACGCUGGCGGCGUGCCUAACACAUGCAAGUUGAGCGCUUGAGGGGGCAACCCCAAGAGAGCAGCGAACGGGUGAGUAACGCGUGGGUGAUCUUCCUUCGAGUGGGGAACAACAUCGGGAAACUGGUGCUAAUUCCGCAUAACACCUUGAGGCUACGAGCCUUGAGAUCAAAGCCGGGGACCGCAAGGCCUGGCGCUUGAAGAUGAGCCCGCGUCCGAUUAGCUAGUUGGCGGGGGAAUGGCCCACCAAGGCUUCGAUCGGUAGCCGGCCUGAGAGGGCGGACGGCCACACUGGAACUGAGACACGGUCCAGACUCCUACGGGAGGCAGCAGUGAGGAAUCUUGCGCAAUGGGGGCAACCCUGACGCAGCAACGCCGCGUGAGCGAGGAAGGUCUUCGGAUCGUAAAGCUCUGUCGGGUGGGAAGAAACGUAUGGAGGUUAAUAGCCUUUAUACUUGACGGUACCACCAAAGGAAGCACCGGCUAACUCCGUGCCAGCAGCCGCCGUAAUAC
rnacentral:rRNA from 1 species